AGCGACAGGCUCAACACAUGCAAGGUCGAGGGGUAACAGGGUAGCAAUACCGCUGACGACCGGCGCACGGGUGAGUAACGCGUAUGCAACCUGCCUAUAACUGGGGAAUAGCUCCCUGAAAGGGGAAUUAACACCGCAUAACACUAUUGAUUCGCAUGGAUUAGUAGUUAAAUGUAGCGAUACAGGUUAUAGAUGGGCAUGCGUGACAUUAGCUAGUUGGUGAGGUAACGGCUCACCAAGGCUACGAUGUCUAGGGGUUCUGAGAGGAAGGUCCCCCACACUGGUACUGAGACACGGACCAGACUCCUACGGGAGGCAGCAGUGAGGAAUAUUGGUCAAUGGGCGCAAGCCUGAACCAGCCAUGUCGCGUGCAGGAAGACUCGCCCUAUGGGUUGUAAACUGCUUUUAUAGUAGAAGAAACACAUCUACGCGUAGAUGUCUGCCAGUAUACUAUGAAUAAGCAUCGGCUAACUCCGUGCCAGCAGCCGC
rnacentral:rRNA from 1 species